GCGAUAGUGGCGUAGCUGGUAACGCGCAACCUUGCCAAGGUUGAGACCGCGGGUUCGAACCCCGUCUAUCGCU
rnacentral:tRNA from 3 species